rnacentral:rRNA from 1 species
CCUACGGGUGGCAGCAGUGGGGAAUAUUGGACAAUGGGGGCAACCCUGAUCCAGCCAUGCCGCGUGUGUGAAGAAGGCCCUCGGGUUGUAAAGCACUUUCAGUGAGGAAGAACGCCUGGUGGUUAAUACCCAUCAGGAAAGACAUCACUCACAGAAGAAGCACCGGCUAACUCCGUGCCAGCAGCCGCGGUAAUACGGAGGGUGCGAGCGUUAAUCGGAAUUACUGGGCGUAAAGCGCGCGUAGGUGGCUUGAUAAGCCGGUUGUGAAAGCCCCGGGCUCAACCUGGGAACGGCAUCCGGAACUGUCAAGCUAGAGUGCAGGAGAGGAAGGUAGAAUUCCCGGUGUAGCGGUGAUAUGCGUAGAGAUCGGGAGGAAUACCAGUGGCGAAGGCGGCCUUCUGGACUGACACUGACACUGAGGUGCGAAAGCGUGGGUAGCAAACAGGAUUAGAUACCCUGGUAGUC